GCACGUAGUUAGCCGGGACUUAUUCCUGUGGUACCGUCCUUCCUCUUCCCACAGAAAAGCGGUUUACGACCCGAAGGCCUUCUUCCCGCACGCGGCGUCGCUGCAUCAGGGUUGCCCCCAUUGUGCAAGAUUCCUCACUGCUGCCGCCCGUAGGCGUCGGGACCGUGUCUCAGUUCCCGUGUGGGGGGCCACGCUCUCACGCCCCCUACCCGUCGUCGGCUUGGUAGGCCGUUACCCCACCAACUACCUGAUAGGCCGCAGGCUCAUCCCAGAGCGCCGGAGCUUUCACCCAAGAAGCCGAAGCCUCCCAGGCCUAUGCGGGAUUAGCCACCGUUUCCAGCGGUUAUCCCCCUCUCUGGGGCAGAUUCCUACGUGUUACGCACCCGUUCGCCACUCGCCCAGCUCCCCGAAAGGAGCCUGCGCGUUCGACUUGCAUGUGUUAAGCACGCCGCCAGCGUUCAUC
rnacentral:rRNA from 1 species